UACAGAGGUCUCAAGCGUUGUUCGGAUUCAUUGGGCGUAAAGGGUGCGUAGGCGGCGCGGUAAGUCGGGUGUGAAAUCUCGGAGCUUAACUUCGAAACUGCAUUCGAUACUGCCGUGCUUGAGGACUGGAGAGGAGACUGGAAUUUACGGUGUAGCGGUGAAAUGCGUAGAUAUCAGGAGGAACACCUAUGGCGAAGGCAGCUCGCUGGGACGGUACUGACGCUGAGGCGCGAAAGCGUGGGGAGCGAACAGG
rnacentral:rRNA from 1 species